UCCUAGAAAGGAAGUUUCAACCAAAACUGUCCUGAACUUUCGUAACUUCUCAAUUUGGUUUUUGAGAUUAUUUGUCAUCAAUCACUUUGGUCUUUUUGUAAAAAAUUUCCAUUAAAUUGAAGGUAAUUUUGUCAAAUUAACCCCUCCACUUAAAUUGGUGAUCUUCAAUGUAACUGAGUUGUUCACAAAAUUACCAAAAUGUUGACAAUGAACAAUCUCGGAAACUAUUUUGAAUAAAAAGCCACUAGAAAAGUUGUUUCUAGUAGUUGCAUUGCGGUCCAAGUUAGGUUUUGAUCGCCCUCUACAUGGCUCCA
rnacentral:lncRNA from 1 species